rnacentral:lncRNA from 1 species
GAAUUGUCACGACCUAGAACUCCCAUCAGGCCCGUGACAACCAUAGCGACGUCCCAAUAGACAUUCUUUACUCGGAAUGUCAAUCGAAACCUUGCAAGGCUUAACAUCAGUUUUUCCUGCUUCCCCUAUGAGUAUUAGUCACUAAAAUUAUGUUUUGAGAGAUUAUAAACAUUUUCCAAAUCAAAACAAUAGAAAAACAAUUUUUUUCUCACAGGGGCAUUUUGGUCAUUUUUCCUCAAAAAUCUCGAAAUCCGCUAAAAAUGUAGUAUGCGAGUACAAAACUCAUAAUUCAUAAUCAAAAAUAAGUUUAAGCAUCUAAAACCUUUAUUUAAAAUGAAAUUAUGAUUAUUUGGAUAUAAUAAAAAUAUUUAAUAAAAUAUUCUAUUUUCUUAUAAAACAAUAUUUAUAAAGUUACAAGUAAAUAAUUUUUGUAGCGUAAAAGCUAAAUAAAUUCAUACAUACUAUAAUUUAGAUAACCAAAGUAUAACAUUUAAUUUAUAGUGACACGUAGGCGCACGAACGACCAAAAGUAUCAAAAGAGGUAAACCUACAGUUUUUUAGGAUGCAAGUCCGACUGUAGCCCUCAGCGAAAUGAGCUAUCUACCGACUAUCCUGAGCCUGAAAUGGGUGGAAAGAAGGGUGGUGAGAUUAUAUAAUCCCAGUGAGUAAACAGAUACCAUCAAAAAUAUCUAAAACUGAGUAAAUGGAGACAGAUAGAAUAAUUUAACAUACUAUAAUUCAUCACCUUUCAACUUGUUUCAAACAAAUAAAAUCAAUUCAUAUAAAUCGAGUAAUCAACAUGGCUUAUAAAUUUCUUAAAACUUUGGCUCGUGCCAAAACCAUUCUCAUACCUAGUUAUCAGGGAUGCCUUGAUCAAGGGCUAUCCCAACCGAGUCUGCCAAGGUUGUUAAAAAGUUAUAUACACAUAAAUCAUGUUUUUAUUUUGAAAACAUAGCCGUUCCUUGGCGUUGGUCGAGUUCCCCUCACGUGGUGGUUGGGCGUGAAGUGAACUUUAAAGUUUGACCUCGGGAGUUACCCUACGCACCUUUCCAAUCGAGGUAUAUAUAUAUGACCAGGUUCCGUGACCCUUUAAUAGGUUGGUCCACAGAACCAGCCCACUGCAGCAAGCUAAACCCACCAUACAAUAAAAAUUCAACAGCAUGAUAUGACAAUUUUAUCAUUAUCCAGCCUAUCAAGGCAAACAACAGUUUAUGCAUUUCAACACAAAUACCAAUUCAACCAUUCAUGCCAAUAUUGUCAUAAGCCAAUCAAUUAGAACCAUAAAUUCACAAUACAUCAAAUGGUCUCCAAUUACUCUAUUUUCAAAGCCUUCAUUCAAUUUCAAGACCAUUUAUGAAAUCAUUUUAUUUAAACACAUUUUGUUUAUAAAACCUAAAAAUUUACCAUUUAAACUCAUUUUUCAUAAAAUCACAAAAUUGGAUAAAAACCACUCUAGAUAAUUAAGAUGAUAGUAAGGUUACUCACAAUGUCUAGAGUGUGAAUUUUCAAAGUACUCUGACUACUGGUCCUCGGAUGCAAUUUCCUUGCCUUUAUCGGAGGACUCGCCACCUUGACAUAGUACAAAAUUGAGAAACUUACUACAUUGGUACUAAAUCGAAAUUAAACUAAUUUAGACUAUUAAUGCAUGAUAAGGAAUGCAAAAUGCACGGGUAACCAUCUAAACCCGAUAUUGACCUAAUUCAUCUUAUCACACCGAUUAAUUGGCCAAUACGUCCAAUUUAGCUCCAAAUUGCUCCAUUUCUUUUCCAAUACCUUAAUUCACCAAACACAAAUCAAAUAACCUAAAAUUUGGCAAAACCAAAAUUCACUUUUUUUCUUAGCAUUUUUGGUUAAUAAUGGUGCAUUAACACUGUGAUUUUUCCUACUACUUUUCCACACCAUAAUUCAUCAUUUUCUAACCAAUUCUCUUAAAAUAAAAAAUCAAAUUCAUCCUCACUCAAUACAAGGUCGGUUCGGCCAUUGAUGGGUGAUGGGGAAAAUGAAUUCCUUUCUUGUUGUUUUGCUUCUAGACAUUAUAAACUAACUAAAAACACUAACAUAACUUGAAAUCAAAUCAAUCCAAUAUCAUUCUCUCUCCAUACCCAUUCAGCUAGCCAUGAAUUCGCCAUUAAAACAUGAAAUUUAACCAUGGAAAAUAAGGAGAAAUGCUUAAGGAAAAUAGAUUUCAAGUUUAAAUUGCGAAAUCCUACCUUUUUCACUAGUUUUCCUUGAUUUUCCACACUUUUUCUCUUGAAAUUCUCCACCUAGGGUUCAUGUUCUUUCUUUUCUUCCUUUGUUCUUCUU